CUUUGAGGUAAGAGACCCAGAAGGGAGGGAGGGUGACCUCACUACGGCACCAGUCUAGAGUGUGUGUAGACUACAUGUGUUGGUUCACCUGAUAGAGAAAAGGACUGGAGCACACAGCAAUACGAAUAUUAGUGUGGAGUGAUAACAUUACUUGUUGUGAGAGUCUCCUUUACUUGUUGUGAGAGUCUCCUUUUCCCCGGCUGAGCUGAGAUGGACGUGCGUCUGACCAGUCCCACUGGGGAGAACCCAGAGGAGUAUCAGCAAAGGAUCAUGGGAGAUAGAAUCCGGAGACAAGUGCUGACUUCCUACAAAGAGGAUCUGGUCAGAGCUGCACAGAGUACUCCUGUGUUUCAGAGACCUACAGUGGGUGAGUGACUCAUCAUAAAGCCACAUACU